rnacentral:rRNA from 1 species
GAGUGGCGGACUGGUGAGUAACGCGUGGGUGACCUGCCCUAAAGAUGGGGAUAGCUAGUAGAAAUAUUAGAUAAUACCGAAUGUGCUCAUUUACAUAAAGGUAGAUGAGGAAAGGGAGCUACGGCUCCGCUUUAGGAUGGGCCCGCGUCCCAUUAGCUAGUUGGUGAGGUAACGGCCCACCAAGGCAACGAUGGGUAUCCGGCCUGAGAGGGUGAACGGACACAUUGGGACUGAGAUACGGCCCAAACUCC